CCUACGGGUGGCUGCAGUGGGGAAUAUUGGACAAUGGGGGCAACCCUGAUCCAGCCAUGCCGCGUGUGUGAAGAAGGCCCUCGGGUUGUAAAGCACUUUCAGUGAGGAAGAACGCCUGGUGGUUAAUACCCAUCAGGAAAGACAUCACUCACAGAAGAAGCACCGGCUAACUCCGUGCCAGCAGCCGCGGUAAUACGGAGGGUGCGAGCGUUAAUCGGAAUUACUAGGCGUAAAGCGCGCGUAGGUGGCUUGAUAAGCCGGUUGUGAAAGCCCCGGGCUCAACCUGGGAACGGCAUCCGGAACUGUCAAGCUAGAGUGCAGGAGAGGAAGGUAGAAUUCCCGGUGUAGCGGUGAAAUGCGUAGAGAUCGGGAGGAAUACCAGUGGCGAAGGCGGCCUUCUGGACUGACACUGACACUGAGGUGCGAAAGCGUGGGUAGCAAACAGGAUUAGAUACCCGAGUAGUC
rnacentral:rRNA from 1 species